UACGUAGGGGGCUAGCGUUGUCCGGAAUCAUUGGGCGUAAAGAGCGUGUAGGCGGCCCGGUAAGUCCGCUGUGAAAGUCGGGGGCUCAACCCUCGAAUGCCGGUGGAUACUGUCGGGCUAGAGUGCGGAAGAGGCGAGUGGAAUCCUGGUGUAGCGGUGAAAUGCGCAGAUAUCAGGAGGAACACCAAUUGCGAAGGCAGCUCGCUGGGACGUAACUGACGCUGAGAACGCGAAAGCGUGGGGAGCAAACAGG
rnacentral:rRNA from 1 species